AGAAUGCCUCUGAAAAGACAUCCGUGAGCAAGGCUCAGCCCACCCUGGUGGUGCUUUCUGAAGGUGAUGGAAUCAGAAGGGGUUGGGGCAUAAUGUGGACAGCAAGCAUUCCACUGACAGAGUCAGCUCCCCAGCCCCAGAGGGACACCUUCUGAAGGACAUGUUUUCUUCUGGAUGCUUCCUUUCUCUCAUCCUUAUUCCCAGACACCCUGAGUUCUCCUCUGGAUUUGGUCAGCUCUCAUCUUCCAAGUGACAGUAACCCAGCCUCCCGGACCAACUAUCAGUGGUGACACAGGGAAAUGAAUGUGCACAUAGGUGCCACCUCAGUUGUCCUGUCAUCAAGGC